GCAUUAUCGGGUAAUAAAUAUAAUACGUUAAAUGUUUGGAUUACAAAUCGGCCUUUUGUUGGCCAAAACAGUCUCUCCUUUUUGUACAUUAUCUGUGAAGAAUUUUAACCUGGUGCAAUUAACAAUCAAUCCCAAAUACAACGACAUAAUAUUUUGGCCCAUUAAAUGAUAACAUAUUCAAAUGAAUCCAUUUUAAUUCAAACUCAAAUCACGACAAGUCGUCUUCAUUCGUAUCAUAUUCAGUGUCUGAAAUAAAUGAAUCCACUUGAUAUUUAAUCAAUGAGUUCAAUAAUCAAUCAGAGUAAUCAAUGUGUUCUAUAAAAUUUUUACACAACACAACAAUGAAUCUGCAACAUUAUGAAUUGAAUUGGCAUGAUCCCACAAAAUUCGAUCCGGAACGGUUCUCUGAGGAAAACAAGGAAUCUAUAAAUCCAAUGGUCUAUCUGCCC
rnacentral:sRNA from 1 species